rnacentral:rRNA from 1 species
UACGUAGGCAGCGAGCGUUUGUUCGGAGUUACUGGGCGUAAAGCGUGCGUAGGCGGUUGUCUAAGUUUGGUGUGAAAUCUCCCGGCUUAACUGGGAGGGUGCGCCGAAAACUGGGUGACUGGAGUGUCGGAGAGGUAAGCGGAAUUCCUGGUGUAGCGGUGAAAUGCGUAGAGAUCAGGAGGAACACCUGUGGUGUAGACAGCUUACUGGACGAUAACUGACGCUGAGGCACGAAAGCGUGGGUAGCAAACAGG